rnacentral:rRNA from 1 species
GAUGAACGCUGGCGGCGUGCCUAAUACAUGCAAGUCGAGCGAACAGACGAGGAGCUUGCUCCUCUGACGUUAGCGGCGGACGGGUGAGUAACACGUGGAUAACCUAUCUAUAAGACUGGGAUAACUUCGGGAAACCGGAGCUAAUACCGGAUAAUAUAUUGAACCGCAUGGUUCAAUAGUGAAAGACGGUUUUGCUGUCACUUAUAGAUGGAUCCGCGGCGCAUUAGCUAGUUGGUAAGGUAACGGCUUACCAAGGCAACGGUGCGUAGCCGACCUGAGAGGGUGAUCGGCCACACUGGAACUGCGACACGGUCCAGACUCCUACGGGAGGCAGCAGUAGGGAAUCUUCCGCAAUGGGCGAAAGCCUGACGGAGCAACGCCGCGUGAGUGAUGAAGGUCUUCGGAUCGUAAAACUCUGUUAUUAGGGAAGAACAAAUGUGUAAGUAACUAUGCACGUCUUGACGGUACCUAAUCAGAAAGCCACGGCUAACUACGUG